UACGAAGGGGGCUAGCGUUGCUCGGAAUCACUGGGCGUAAAGGGUGCGUAGGCGGGUCUUUAAGUCAGGGGUGAAAUCCUGGAGCUCAACUCCAGAACUGCCUUUGAUACUGAAGAUCUUGAGUUCGGGAGAGGUUGGUGGAAUUCCCAGUGUAGAGGUGAAAUUCGUAGAUAUUGGGAAGAACACCAGUGGCGAAGGCGGCUCACUGGCCCGAUACUGACGCUGAGGCACGAAAGCGUGGGGAGCAAACAGG
rnacentral:rRNA from 1 species